GAUGAAGAACGUAGCGAAAUGCGAUAAGUAAUGUGAAUUGCAGAAUUCAGUGAAUCAUCGAAUCUUUGAACGCACAUUGCGCCCUCUGGUAUUCCGGAGGGCAUGCCUGUUCGAGCGUCAUUUCAAACCUCAAGCCUCGGCUUGGUCUUGGGCACCGUCCGCCAGGACGCGCCAGAAACACGUAGGCAGUGGUGCCCGUCUCCCAGCGUAGUCAGUCUACCCGCUCCGGAGCUCGUGGUGCCGCCCGCCGUACAACCACACUACUUCUAUGGUUUGACCUCGGAUCAGGUAGGGAUACCCGCUGAACUUAAGCAUAUCAAUAAGCGGAGGGA
rnacentral:misc_RNA from 1 species